rnacentral:rRNA from 1 species
GACGAACGCUGGCGGCGUGCUUAACACAUGCAAGUCGAACGGAAAGGCCCUGCUUUUGUGGGGUGCUCGAGUGGCGAACGGGGGAGUAACACGUGAGUAACCUGCCCUUGACUUUGGGAUAACUUCAGGAAACUGGGGCUAAUACCGGAUAGGAGCUCCUGCAGCAUGGAGGGGGUUGGAAAGUUUCGGCGGUUGGGGAUGGACUCGCGGCUUAUCAGCUUGUUGGUGGGGUAGUGGCUUACCAAGGCUGUGACGGGUAGCCGGCCUGAGAGGGUGACCAGCCACAAUAGGACUGCGGUACGGCGCAGUCUCCUACGGGAGGCAGCGGUGGGGAGUAUUGCCCAAUGGGCGGAAGCCUGUGGCGAAGGCGCCGCGUGCGGGAUGACGGCCUUCGGGUUGUAAACCGCUUUCGCCUGUGACGAAGCGUUAGUGACGGUACUGGGUAAAGAAGCACCGGCUAACUACGUG